rnacentral:rRNA from 1 species
GUGGGGAAUAUUGGACAAUGGGCGAAAGCCUGACCCAGCCACGCCGCGUGAGUGAUGAAGGCCUUCGGGUUGUAAAGCUCUGUGGGGAGGGAAGAAAAAGCGCAGGAGUAACUGCCUGUGUGUUGACGGUACCUCCUUAGCAAGCACCGGCUAACUCUGUGCCAGCAGCCGCGGUAAUACAGAGGGUGCAAACGUUGCUCGGAAUUACUGGGCGUAAAGCGCGUGUAGGCUGACAUGCAAGUCGGGUGUGAAAUCCCAGGGCUCAACCUUGGAACUGCACUCGAAACUGCACGUCUUGAGUACUGGAGAGGGAAGCGGAAUUCCGGGUGUAGAGGUGAAAUUCGUAGAUAUCCGGAGGAACACCAGUGGCGAAGGCGGCUUCCUGGACAGUAACUGACGCUGAGACGCGAAAGCGUGGGGAGCAAACAGGAUUAGAAACCCGGGUAGUCC